UCUCGGUACUCAGGAAUCAAGCCUGGUGGUGCUUGGGGGGGCCAUAUAGGGUGUUGGAGAUCAAACCUGGGUUGCCCAUGUGCAAGGCAAACGCCCUGCCCGCUGUAAUAUCUCUCUGGCACCGUUUUUUCCAAUCGAACGUUUUCUUUGGAGAUAAUGCUGCCUAGGGGGUGGCCUCGCUAGUGAGCCUCCUGGAGGUGUGGCCUCUCCUGUGCCCCUCCUGGGGUUGGGCUUCCCUUGUGGGCCCCGCCCCAGGGGUGUGACCUCUCCUGGGAGUGAGUGGCCUGGGGGCGUGGCCUCGCCUGUGCCCCUCCUGGGGUUGGGCUUCCCUUGUGGGCGCCCCCCAGGGGUGUGACCUCUCCUGGGAGUGAGUGGCCUGGGGGCGUGGCCUCGCCUGUGAGCCGCCUGGGGGUGUGGCCUCACUCCUAUUUCCGGCUUCGUUCCCGGGAGGUCUCGCCCCUGAGAGGGCUUCUUUCCGCUCCAGCUUCUGGUCCGCUGUGCGCUGUUUCAGGGGAGGGAGUUCGUCUCUGCCGGUUGCGUGACUGCACGUUGCGAUGGAGCACGCCAUGACCGAAGGUCUGUCUUCGCCCAGACUCCUCGGUGUUGUUUGUUUCCGGCUGUUUUCUCUGUGAGGGUUGCAGACUCUGGUCAGCUCUAGCAGCGUCUUCCACUCAGGCUCUGUGCGGGCGCCGGCCUGCGAGCGUCUAUCCGCCCGCCCACUCUCCCCUGCAGCGAAGCAACCUGAGGGCUUGUGACUUUUCCCUCACAUCCCAGCCAGGGCUCAGAGUGGCCUUCUUUGGCCAGAGUCGGGUGUUUUGUUCUUGUUUUUCCGAAUUUUCCUCGCUGAGACAAAGUAAACUUCCUUCACUGAGACAAAGAACAGGAGCUGCAAAAGGAAGAGGCCAGACAGGGGAAGAACUUUGAGAUGUGCCAGGAGUUCGAGCAGAAUGCUAGUGCGUUCCUUCAGUGGGUCUGGGAGACCAGCCUACUUCCUGGACGGUCAGUAUUCUGCUCUUGUGUCUGCUGUGCUGUCUUAUCCGGGAACCUUAUGCUGAGCCCACGUAGACUGGAUCAGCUCAGGAGCAAAAUUGGGCUGAGACCAUGAGCCAAGCUCUCACCCAGACCCUGCCCCCCGCCAGGUGGGGGACCCUGCUAGUGGAAUCUCAGUUGGAAGGCAAUGAAGGGAGUGGUGUGUAUUCUAGAGAUGAGGAGAUUAUACAAGGAAUUCAGGUAAGGGCUGGAGAGAUAGCACAGCGGGGAGGGCAUUUGCUUUGCAUGCGGCCAACCCGGGUUCAAUUCCCAGCAUCCCAUAUGGCAUAUGGUCCCCUGAGCAUGGCCAGGAGUAAUUCCUGAGUUCAGAGCCAGGAGUAACCCCUGUGCAUUGCCAGGUGUGACCCAAAAAGCAAAAAAAAAAAAGAAAAAAGAAUUCCAUAAGCCACUUCAGUGCUCCUGAUGUAGGCAGGUAGAUAAGGAAAGGCCCUUUGCAAUGAAAUAGAUUAACAAAGUCUCUGGGAAGGAGAAUCCUGAGACUGACCCACCUUGUGGAUACAGAAAACAGACCUGAUAAGAACUUCAGCAGACCCUGAGGAGGUUGGACCCCUCCCCACGAAGUUCCUCAAAUUCUUUCGACCUCUCCCUUAAUCUGAUUAAAAUGUGAUCUUGCCUAAAGAAGACCAUCACAACUCCCAACCUCCCUGGUAACCUCCUUAGCAACGGACUUUUACCUGGGAAGAAGCCCCAGGUGGGGGCAGGUUGAAGAGACCCUAUAAAAGACACCGUGAACAAAGGAAGCAUGCGCAUAUGCUGCCUGAGCCCAUGUGCUGCUUGUGCCCACGUGGCCGAGCACAUGUGGUGCCCAAGCACAGGUGUCGCCCGCAUCUCCCCCCUUGAGAUGUGUACUUUCAUGCUUUCGUGUCCAGUGCUAGGAUAUGUGUAGAACUCUCUCCACCCUUGGAGAAGCCCGCAUUCUCUCUUGAGCGCGUUAUUCUUACUAUUCUCUCUCCCACUUAUCCCUUCCUCCUGAUGUAGGCAGGUAGAUAGGGAAAGGCCCUUAACAAUGAAACUUAGAUUAAUAAAGUCUCUGGAAAGGAGAAUCCUGAGACUGACCCACCUUGUGUGUACAGAAAACAGUCCUGAUAAGACCUUCAGCAGACCCUGAGGAGGUUGGACCCCUCCCCACGAAGUUCCUUGAAUUCUAUUUGACCUUUCCCUUAAUCUGAUUAAAAUGUGAUCCAGCCUAGGGGCUGGAGCAAUAGCACAGCGGGUAGGGCGUUUGCCUUGCACGCGGCCGACCCGGGUUCGAUUCCCAGCAUCCCAUAUGGUCCCCUGAGCACCGCUAGGAGUCAUUCCUGAGUGCAGAGCCAGGAGUAACCCCUGUGCAUCGCCAGGUGUGACCCAAAAAGCAAAAAAAAAAAAAAAAAUGUGAUCCAGCCUAAAGAAGACCCAACCUCCCUGGUAACCUCCUUAGCAACGGACUUUUACCUGGGAAGAAGCCCAAGGUGGGGGCAGGUUGAAGAGACCCUAUAAAAGACACUGUGAACAAAGGAAGCCCGCGCAUAUGCUGCCUGAGCCAUGUGCUGCUUGUGCCCACCAUGCCGAUCACAUUUGGUGCCCGAGCACAGGUGUCGCCCGCAUCUCCCCCCUUGAGAUGUGUACUUUCAUGCUUUCGUGCCCAGUGCUAGGAUGUGUGUAGAGCUCUCUCGAUCCUCGGAGGAGCCCGAGUUCUCUCUUGAGCGCGUUACUCCUGCUGUUUUUUUCUUUUCCACUUAUCCCUUCCUCCUUCCC